UACGAAGGGGGCUAGCGUUGUUCGGAAUUACUGGGCGUAAAGCGCACGUAGGCGGAUCUGUAAGUAGGGGGUGAAAUCCCCGGGCUCAACCCGGGAACUGCCUUCUAGACUGCAGACCUUGAGAUCAGGAGAGGCGAGCGGAAUUCCGAGUGUAGAGGUGAAAUUCGUAGAUAUUCGGAGGAACACCAGUGGCGAAGGCGGCUCGCUGGACAUUUCCUGACGCUGAGGCACGAAAGCCAGGGGAGCAAACGGG
rnacentral:rRNA from 1 species